rnacentral:rRNA from 1 species
CCUACGGGUGGCAGCAGUGGGGAAUAUUUGACAAUGGGGGGAACCCUGAUCCAGCCAUGCCGCGUGUGUGAAGAAGGCCCUCGGGUUGUAAAGCACUUUCAGUGAGGAAGAACGCCUGGUGGUUAAUACCCAUCAGGAAAGACAUCACUCACAGAAGAAGCACCGGCUAACUCCGUGCCAGCAGCCGCGGUAAUACGGAGGGUGCGAGCGUUAAUCGGAAUUACUGGGCGUAAAGCGCGCGUAGGUGGCUUGAUAAGCCGGUUGUGAAAGCCCCGGGCUCAACCUGGGAACGGCAUCCGGAACUGUCAAGCUAGAGUGCAGGAGAGGAAGGUAGAAUUCCCGGUGUAGCGGUGAAAUGCGUAGAGAUCGGGAGGAAUACCAGUGGCGAAGGCGGCCUUCUGGACUGACACUGACACUGAGGUGCGAAAGCGUGGGUAGCAAACAGGAUUAGAUACCCUGGUAGUC